UCUUUGCUGGCUCAGAGGGUAAAGCAUCUGCCUGCAAUGCAGGAGACCUGGGUUCUAUCCCUGGGUUGGAA
rnacentral:tRNA from 1 species